CAAACACUUUAAAAAAAGAUAUGUAGCUAUUUUCACACAGGUACUGCAGCCCUAAAUGUCUGGCACACUGGGAUCAGACAUUAAAGAGUCUUAAUAGUCUAACCAUCCAAAUCUCUGUGUAAUGUGAGAGUAGCAUAGGUAAAGGUGUGGUGAAUUCAGUGGGCCACAGGGUGCUGUGCAUCCUUUUUUCUGCAUGCUGUACAAGGAGCACCCUCACUUAAAUCAGACCUUUAAAUCACACCCUCACUUAAAUCAAACCAAUGUGAUUCACCCAAGAUUUACAGAGUUCAUGUGUUUUAUUUAUUUUCUUUUUACUAGUGUCAGUAACACGAUGAUGGAUUUGUCUUUCACAGGCUUCUUUUAUUAUUAGGAAAUUAGGUCAACUUUAGCAGUAAAACACCCUGUAUGCACUGAAAAUAACAAAUUAUACAGUAUGUCACUUGGCCUUAUAUUAAAACCAUUGUUAUGGAUGGGCACAGCGUUUGCAUCUGGCCAUGACGUGAUUAUUUCACAUGCUGAGUUUGCAGCAUUGGCUUCGUCUUACUCUUACACACCUGUUUCAUUUCUCAUCAGACUGACAGCUGAUAAAUAUACACAUAUGCUACAUAUAUUACACAAGGACCACACCGCAGACUCUGCUUUGCUCGCAGUCUUCAAGGGCCAGAGAGAGCAACCUGAAAGCAGGGUGACAUUUACUUAAGCUACGAGUAGUGGGAUUAUUACGAUAUGGGUUCAGUUUGACACAAACGCUAUCUGUACAAGAUAAAAUAUGAAUAACCUCUCAGUUACUGAAAUAUAAAUUAAAGUGUGCAGUGAAGUUUGGACAGUGGAAAAUGUCCUCCAGGUUUGGGUAACCUGACACUGUUGGUAUGACUUAAGUUUCAUAAAUUCUUAAAAGGCAACACUGUCUAGACGAACAAGUUUAUUAAACGUCUCUUCAUUUUUAAUCUAGCCAGCAGUUUUGUUUUCUGGCAUGGAAUCAGCAUCAUGCAAAGCCAUGAAGAGUGCUGCUUUGUUGAAAAUUUUAUUAAUUAUUUUAAGAGUGGAGAUAUAUUAAUUUAAUAUUAACGUAUUUUUUGAAAAGAAAAUACUAAAUGUAUUGUGGCAAUUACUUAUUAAGUGCUGAAUAUGCAAUGCUAGGAACACACAGAAAAGAAAAGUGAGUAAAAAACUAGGUGUAUGAUUGAAAAGCUGUGCAAAAUACAGAACAGUGAUUCAGAGACAUGAAAUAAUUCCAUAUUUUUGUAAAUAAUUCAGAGUAAGCUGGAAUUCUUUUGAGAUGAUGCUACUUUCAUCUGCCGCAUGGGUCUCUCAAAAGACUUACUUGUCCCAGCAUCAAGCAAAGAGACAAAGCGGAGCCGCGUCUUUCUUUGAAGCCUCAGCGUGCGAGCACUGUCAGAUAUGGAAUGUAAACUUUGUUGAUGCCAAAAGGAAAGCUUUAGAGAGACAUGCAUAUGAUUGUUGUCUUGGCUGCAUCAUUUUAAGUGCAGCCAUCUCCUAAUUCUGAUUAAAAUCAGUGCCAAAUGUCAGCCAACACAUUCUGUUGGAUUAUUCUCCUCCCUGCUGGACUUUCCCCAGUUCACUAUAGUCUGUGUACAGGACAUUCUGUCUCUGUGGCGUACAUCUACUGUGCAGUACAAUGGGUUGGUUGUAGACUAUUUCUCUACAUAAGCAAAAAAGCUGCCAGCAGCUGAGAGAGAACUUGACUUUUCUGUGACACAUGAGGCCAACUAUGAGCAGAGAAAUGUCUUUCUGUAUCGCCAGUUUCUGAGCUCAUGAUUGGUUGGACUUGUUGAAACCACUUUUUGUUUAACUUGUGGACGCUGGUAUGUGAUGUAGUGGAUUGUUGUACACCUUUUACAUUAACCGUUUUACUUGCAUGCAUAGUAAGCAAGUCGGCUUUGUUGCAGAUUCUGAUUGAUGCAGCUUCCGGGCUGCUUUUCCAAACAGUGUAAUGGACGUUAAAGGCUGUAUACAGUAAAUGUCCCUUUCUUUGAAAUGAUUUUAAAUUGUCAGAGUGAUUAUGGCUCUCAGAGUCUUCUUUCAUACACAGAUGAACUAUAAAGGGUCCUUACCUGAUUGAUGAACAUUGAUUGAUACUUAACUAGCCCAGGUCUACUUUUUUAACUCAUCACUAGUGUGAUGUGAGCAAUUUGUAAUUUUUGUCACUUCGGAAUGAAAAUAUUUAGUUUUUUUGUCACUUCUAAAGUAAAAUGCCAUCAUCCUGUGAUUCAGGGCAGUUCAUUAAAUAAUUCUGUGUUUUGUUUUUUUCCCAAAUACAAUGAAUUAUUAUUAAUAUUCGGUGUAAUGCACAUCAGGACGUAGUGCAAUUUUUAAGCUUUUUGUGCCUUAAAAACUGCAGCUCAAGUGAGCAGAGUGAGUCAUUAGAGUUGGAAGAAAAAGGACAAGAGUGAGCAAGAGUAAAGCAGUGGAAUGUAGGGCGAGUGAGUGAAGCUGAGUGAAAAAAAUCCUCAGUGAGACCGAGUCAGCGCUGGCAGCUUAUCUGCUGUGUGCUGCUUUUUUUUCUCUCUUUUUUUUCUCCUCCUCAUUUUCCAUUUCCUCUUUCUUCUGUUCUUCUGAGAGUGAGAGCGAGAGAAAGAGAUAUUCACCCCUCUCUGAGACGGCUGAGUUGGUACAGCCCGGCCAUCUGACGGGCCCAAAAAUCUCACUGUGCUGCUGUGAGUGCCAAUCAAAGAGGAGUGCUCGGCAGGGAUUACCUUGAGUGACCCUGCAUAGAUUAGUGCGUGCAUGUGAGAUGGACAAUUCUUUGGGCGGCUUAAGCGGCCUGAUGACACGCUUUCCCGGAAUAUGUGUGGUUGUGCCGUGGCCCGGCAGCCCUUCUAAGGAGCUCUACUAUGGUGCUGUCCUCCCCCUCUACUGCUACCGUUACCACCGCUAUGGAAGCACCGGAGGGUAAAUUCUCAUUUGCACCACUGGUAAGCUGUGGCUCUCAGCGAAGGAAAGGGAUUUUUAUGACCAGCAAAUGAGCUUACAGGCCGUCAACCCUGUUUUUCGGAUGCGGAGUCCUGCUUUGCUGUGAUAAUUGGUUCAUGAGCUGCUCCACAGUGUAGUUCACAGAAAGUUAGCAACUUUGGUCUAAUUUGGAUUUCUGCAAGGAAUCUCUGUAGAGCCUACAAAGUAACCUAUGCAAGUGGCGAACGUCAUUGCCAGCAUUUCUGUUGUGCUGCUGCAUUAUGUGUUUAUCACCAUGUGGUCGUGUCCCGGUGUUUUAUAUGCAGUGUCAGCCGAUGGAAACAAAUAAAAUGCUGAGACUUUU